UUUUUGUAUUUUUUAAAAGUCAGAAAACAUUUUAAAAUGAAUUAAAAUCAUUAAAAACUAAAUAAUUCAUGAAAAAUAUCAAAUGAAGUCACAAAAAUAAUUAAAAAUCAUAAUAUCAAACUAGAUUUUUCAAGAAAAAUUUUAGAGUUGGUCUCAUAUUUUUCUGACCUCGUAUGAAUUUUUUAUGAAUUAUUGAAAA
rnacentral:lncRNA from 1 species